GUGUUAGCAGCCGCGGUAAUACGGAGGGCGCAAGCGUUGUUCGGAAUUACUGGGCGUAAAGCGCGCGCAGGCGGCCCGUUAAGUCCCCUGUGAAAGCCCGGGGCUCAACUCCGGAAUUGCAGGGGAUACUGGCGGGCUAGAGACCGGUAGAGGCCAGCGGAAUUCCCGGUGUAGCGGUGGAAUGCGUAGAUAUCGGGAAGAACACCAGUGGCGAAGGCGGCUGGCUGGGCCGGUUCUGACGCUCAGGCGCGAAAGCGCGGGGAGCAAACAGGAUUAGAUACCCUGGUAGUCCACGCCGUAAACGAUGGGCACUAGAUGCCGGGUGUAUAGACGCAUUCGGUGUCGUAGCUAACGUGGUAAGUGCCCCGCCUGGGGAGUACGGCCGCAAGGCUGAAACUUAAAGGAAUUGACGGGG
rnacentral:rRNA from 1 species